rnacentral:sRNA from 1 species
CCUGCAGAGCUGCUUGCGCCCUUUAUCGGCGAUAUUGCCGCAGAAGGGAUAGGUAAGGCCAUUCAUGGCGGAACGGCGUUUCUGCGUAAAAGCUUCCAGCGACAGCAGCGCUACGCUGCAGAAGUGAUGACCGAAGAGUGGCGUAUGGCGCCCGGUCCGCUGGAAGUGGCGUGGUUUGCGGAAGAGACCGCUGCUGUUGAACGUGCUGUUGAUGCACUUUCUAAACGGCUGGAAAAACUGGAGGGCAAAUGA